rnacentral:lncRNA from 1 species
CAGAGGAAGGAUGAAGAUGGCUUUACCCUUGAUGCAGCAAGAUAUGGGAACGUUGGAAGAUUUAUCAACCAUAGCUGCUCACCAAACCUUUAUGCUCAAAAUGUCAUGUAUGACCACGGUGAUAGGAAACUACCUCACAUAAUGUUUUUCGCUUCCAAGAGUAUUGCUUACUUAUGACUAUAACUACCAGAUUGAUCAGGUUUAUGAUGCAAAUGGCAAUCUGAAGAAAAAGAAUUGUAGAUGUGGUUCUCGUAAGUGCUCGGGUAGAAUGUAUUAAAGAGGUACUCGUGUAAGUCUAUUCGUUUGUACUUUGAUAUUUCAAGUAUGAUUUUAUAUUUGCGUGCACUUCCAUGUCAUGUCAACUUUUCGAUUCCUUGCUAUUCCAUUUACAUUGCCGAACCUUUACGCUCAAAAUGUCAUGUAUGACCAUGGUGAUAGGAGAGUACCUCACAUAAUGUUUUUCGCUUCCAAAAGUAUUGCUCCAUUAGAGGAGCUUACUUAUCACUACAACUACCAGGUUGAUCAUGUUUAUGAUGCAAAUGGCAAUCUGAAGAAAAAGAAUUGUAGAUGUGGUUCUCGCAAGUGUUCGGGGAGAAUGUACUAAGAAGUAGUCGUGUAAACUAUUCCUUUGUACUUCGAAAUUUCAAGUAUAAUUCUAUAUUUGUGUGCGCACUUCCAUGUCAUUACAAUCUGACGUGCAUUUAGAUACAGUUGUCUCAAGUUCUCUUGAAAUAUCAUUUGUUGAUAUUGCAAUUGUUGUAAAG